CCAGAAGAAAAAGCGAAAUUGAGAUAGACUCUUCUGCUUCAGUUACUUCAUUAAUCUAGGUUGCGCUGUGGUUGAAGUAACCCGAUAAAGUUGAAAGCAAUUCUUAAGUUCAAAUACAGAAUCAUGACAGAUUCCCUUCGCAUUUGUUGGAAUUGUUAAUAAACCCCCUUUCAACAUUGAUCCAAAUUCAACCAACUAUUAGUGCAAAAAACUUAGUUAACCAAAGUUGGAUGCCCUUGAAUAUGUUCUUAUAUGGUUCUUUAGAUGCCUUCUUUCUGCUGUUUUGAGUUGUGCUUGUGAAUUAAAUUUGGUGAUUCUUUCUAUAGUACUUGCAUAUUUUAUCAAAGUCUAACAAUGAUCAUGUGAUCUGGCCUUGGACUAAAGUUCAGUCUGGUGAAAGUUGGAACAAUUUAUCCAAAAUUAUCAUUAAGGUGGCA
rnacentral:lncRNA from 1 species